AUGAGUGGCGAACGGGUGAGUAACACGUGGGUAACCUGCCCAUAAGAGGGGGAUAACAUCCGGAAACGGGUGCUAAUACCGCAUAGGUGAACGGAGCGCAUGCUCUGCUCAUUAAAGAUGGCCUUGUGCUAUCGCUUAUGGAUGGACCCGCGGCGUAUUAGCUAGUUGGUGAGGUAAUGGAUCACCAAGGCGAUGAUACGUAGCCGACCUGAGAGGGUGAUCGGCCACACUGGGACUGAGACACGGCCCAGACUCCUACGGGAGGCAGCAGUAGGGAAUCUUCCACAAUGGGCGAAAGCCUGAUGGAGCAAUACCGCGUGAGUGAAGAAGGUCUUCGGAUCGUAAAGCUCUGUUGUUAGAGAAGAACACGCAGAACAGUAACUGGUUCUGCGCUGACGGUAUCUAACCAGAAAGUCACGGCUAACUACGUGCCAGCAGCCGCGGUAAUACGUAGGUGACAAGCGUUGUCCGGAUUUAUUGGGCGUAAAGCGAGCGCAGGCGGUCUUUUAAGUCUGAUGUGAAAGCCCACGGCUCAACCGUGGAUGGUCAUUGGAAACUGGAAGACUUGAAUGCAGAAGAGGUAA
rnacentral:rRNA from 1 species